rnacentral:rRNA from 1 species
CUUGACAUCCAGCGAACUUGGCAGAGAUGCCUUGGUGCCUUCGGGAACGCUGAGACAGGUGCUGCAUGGCUGUCGUCAGCUCGUGUUGUGAAAUGUUGGGUUAACGUCCGCAACGAGCGCAACCCUUAUCCUUUGUUGCCAGCGAUUCGGUCGGGAACUCAAAGGAGACUGCCGGUGAUAAACCGGAGGAAGGUGGGGAUGACGUCAAGUCAUCAUGGCCCUUACGAGUAGGGCUACACACGUGCUACAAUGGCGCAUACAAAAAGAAGCGACCUCGCGAGAGCAAGCGGACCUCAUAAAGUGCGUCGUAGUCCGGAUCGGAGUCUGCAACUCGACUCCGUGAAGUCGGAAUCGCUAGUAAUCGUGGAUCAGAAUGCCACGGUGAAUACGUUCCCGGGCCUUGUACACACCGCCCGUCACACCAUGGGAGUGGGUUGCAAAAGAAGUAGGUAGCUUAACCUUCGGGAGGGCGCUUACCACUUUGUGAUUCAUGACUGGGGUGAAGUCGUAACAAGGUAAGCGUAGCGAG